CUGGUAUUUUCUUAACCUCUUCCGAUGGAGAAACAAAGGACAGUAGAGAUCAAGCAAUUUUCUUACUACCUCAGGAACCUCUGUGAAGGGGAACUCCAGGCCAAGUGUGCAUCAGUCAAAGGCAAACCCUGAAUCGUGCUUUGUGCCAGUCUCUGGGAAGAUCCCAAGAUCAUGUGGUGGGGAGAAGUGGCAGUGGCUGUGGCAGCACCAUCUGCAGGGCGAGCCCCGUCUCUACCUGCCGCAGGAUGUGUGGGGCAGGCUUCGUGGGAACAAUCCGCCCGGGGCACAAGGGGGCUUUUGACAUCAGCUGAGUCCCGGGCUGCCUUACAAUGAGAGGCCUGUUGGGCAGAGGGAGACUGCGUCAUGAGCUGAGCGUCCAAGGCCAGCUCUGGCCAUCUGGACUGCGGACCUCUGCAGCAAUCUGUCCUGUAACUGGCUCCAGGUGCGGAAAGCACAUUGCCUUUCAAAGGAAGCAACUGCAACAAUAAAUUUGUAUUUCGAAACUGUGAA